CAGAGGUCCCGAGCGUUGUUCGGAUUCACUGGGCGUAAAGGGUGCGUAGGUGGCGAGGUAAGUCGGAUGUGAAAGCUCGGAGCUCAACUCCGAAAUGGCAUUGGAAAUUACCUUGCUCGAGGGUUGGAAGGGGGACUGGAAUGCUUGGUGUAGCAGUGAAAUGCGUAGAUAUCAAGCGGAACACCAGUGGCGAAGGCGAGUCCCUGGACAACUCCUGACACUGAGGCACGAAAGCUAGGGGAGCAAACAGGAUUAGAUACCCUGGUGGUCCUAGCCGUAAACGGUGCACGUUUGCUGUAAAAGGAAUCGACCCCUUUUGUGGCGUAGCCAACGCGUUAAACGUGCCGCCUGGGAAGUACGGUCGCAAGAUUA
rnacentral:rRNA from 1 species